AUUGAACGCUGGCGGCAUGCCUUACACAUGCAAGUCGAACGGCAGCACGGGGCAACCUGGUGGCGAGUGGCGAACGGGUGAGUAAUGCAUCGGAACGUACCUUUCAGUGGGGGAUAACGUAGCGAAAGUUACGCUAAUACCGCAUAUUCUGUGAGCAGGAAAGCAGGGGAUCGCAAGACCUUGCGCUGAUUGAGCGGCCGAUGUCAGAUUAGCUAGUUGGUGAGGUAAAGGCUCACCAAGGCGACGAUCUGUAGCGGGUCUGAGAGGAUGAUCAGCCACACUGGGACUGAGACACGGGCCAGACUCCUACGGGAGGCAGCAGGGGGAAUUUGGGAGAAUGGGGGCAACCCUGAUCCAGCCAGGCCGCGUAAGUGAAGAAGGCCUUCGGGUUGUAAAGCUCUUUCGGCCGGGAAGAAAUCGCACGGGGUAAUACCCUGUGUGGAUGACGGUACCGGAAUAAGAAGCACCGGCUAACUACGUGCCAGCAGCCGCCGUAA
rnacentral:rRNA from 1 species